CGCCGGGAAGGCGCAGCCGCCGGCCGUGCGCUCCCCGGGGCUGCGCGCCCCCCGCGCGUCUCGCAGCGCCCCGCACAACAAUAAUAUUUUUGAAGGCCAUAUCCAGAUUCUAGAGGAAGGCUCUUAACCAUCCAGUUGGGACAGAAAAGAAACUUGGAGGAGCUCCCUGCAUUUUUGAAAGAUGUGGCAAACUUCUUUAUAUUUUGAGGUAUAAGCCAACUUGGGGAUGGACAAAGUUACCUCAGUAUGAAGUCUGCAUUCAAACAUCGUACUACUUUCCUGUGCUUUGCUCUCUCACAAUGCCCGUGUGAAUAACCAAACCCGCAAAAGUCCCCUAAGAUCUUCACCCAUUUUUCGUGAGAAAUGUUGUCACCAUAACAUGCUUCCUCAUGCUAAAAGAGCACAAGUAGGCUGACCUCAGCACACAAUAGAAAUGGUUGGAGUGGCGGAAGGAGACAUCUGAUAAAUUUGGAAUGAACAUCUAAUUCUCCCCAGGAUGCUCUGAAUGUAAAUUUGGAAAGAGGAAUCUGUCCGAAUAAUUAUAGUUUAAAAGCCGAAUUCCAAAUAUAAUUAUUUUCUUUGCUUUUUUGUUGGUGCACAUUGCAUACAUGCUGGAAGAGAUUUCUUUUUUGUGGUUGCUAUGGUAAAAAGCAGUCCCCAGUUCUUUUACUUAAAACCCAUGAACUGCAAUUAACUGUUUAAUGUUGUAACAUGCAACAGCUCUAGUAGCACCUUAACAGCUUUGAGCAUGAUACUCCCAUCAUCUCAGCAGAUGGUGAUUUUUGGCAUUCUGUGUUUUCAAUGUAUUCUUCUCCUGUAUAAUCUCUGCCAUUAUAUCUUCUGACAAAUGCUUCUGGAAUAAAUUCUAAUUUGAUUGUGCUGAGACAUUCCUCAGAUCUUUUUGCAUUUCUGUUAAAGAUGACCAAUAUAUGAAAAAAAAAGUUUGUAUGUGUACCCCAUCAACAAUUAUAAAACCAGAAUUUAAAGUAAGAAUCUGUUUCUUCUUAUCUGUAACCAUCAAAAUACAGUCUUAAAAUGUAUUUAGUAUACUACAGGAGCCCUACACCUGAACAGAGAAGGAGACAUGAAUGAUUCUUUUGUGAAGAAAGAGUAACCCUGAAUGUUUAUCAAGAGUCUGAAUUAAAUAAGAGUUCCCAAUUUCAACUUGUUUUACUCUUUAUUAUUAUUUCUAUAGAGCUGGAGACUAAAUUCCUCAUGAAUUUUCCUCAUUGUUUUAAAGAUUUAUGACUAAUAUAAAUCCUUUUCAAUAGGGAGUUGCAAUCAUAUUUAGAAAAAUUUUGACUUUGUCCAGAUAUUAUCUAAAGCAAGAUUAUCUGGUGAAACUGUUUUUCAGCUACUCUCCCUCUUUCUCCCAUGGUAUAAAUACAUUUGUAUUCCAUUUCUAAUUUUGGGUUUCAGUUAGAAAUGAAUUAUUUGGAUUUAAAAUCAGGACUGUUCUUCAUAUUGCUGUUUGAAGGGAUUUUAUGUAUUAAGCAGGCAGGACACUUCAGAUGUGUAAUUCUGUAAUACAGGACCAAAUCAACUUUCUUUGGUACCUUCAGCAGCAUUUCUUCUUCUUUAGGAAAAGAAAACAAGAGGAGAAAAGGAAAAGAUUGGUUUUCCAGAAUCAUAACAAGAUAAUUUUGCGGUUUCAGGUUUUAAAAUAUAAAUGUCUCAUUCGUAGCUA